rnacentral:rRNA from 1 species
AUUGAACGCUGGCGGCAGGCCUAACACAUGCAAGUCGAACGAGUGGGGGACGGGUGUGAAAUGACUGGGAAACCGUCUGAUGGAGGGGGAGCACUAUUGGAAACGGUUGCUAAUCCCGUAUACCAUCGGAUGUGCCCAGAUGGGAUUAGCGUGUAGGUGGGGUAAAGUCUCACCUAGGCGACGAUCCCUAGCUGGUCUGAGAGGAUGACCAGCCAAACUGGAAAUGAGACACGGUCCAGACUCCUACGGGAGGCAGCAGUGGGUAAUAUUGCACAAUGGGCGCAAGCCUGAUGCAGCCAUGCCGCGUGUAUGAAGAAGGCCUUCGGUUUGUAAAGUACUUUCAUCGGGGAGGCGUUACCCGCAGAAGAAGCACCGGCUAACUCCGUGCCAGCAGCCGCGGUAAUUC